rnacentral:misc_RNA from 1 species
AUGAGUCACACCACAUAGACCGAGGUAAUCCUUUUGCUUCUGAAUGAUGCCUUGUCUUGGAAAAGACAAAAAGAUGGAAUAUAAUGUAGCUAACAUGGUAAUUAUGUUAAAAAGUAAAUUAGGGAGAUGAAUCACAUUUUCUUGGGUAUAUUGGGCUCCUGAUUUGGUUGGGUUCUUAAAAGUCUUUUUCUUCACUGAGUUGAUUUUCUGUUGCGGCUUUUCAAUGACCUGCAUUUGGCCAAGAAGACAAACCCUUUAUAAUCUGACUCCAGUGCCAAACCUCGUAGAAGACUGCUCUCCUUUUCUGCAUGACUGUACUCUGUAACUGGUAAAGCGAAGAGAAACUACUUUGGUGAUUUGAAAGGCUGUUUCUUUGAUGUGGGACUUGAAUUCAGAAACCAUAAAAUUGUAAAUUGUAUGGUUUGAAAACAGCCACAUUGUGAAAAUGGCCAUUCCCUAAAGCAGAUGUCUUGUACCAAUAGUCAUAAAAUCAACUAGGUAAAAAAACAGCUGUUUUGAUUUCAGCCACAUUAUGUGGUGGU